rnacentral:rRNA from 1 species
UACAGAGGGUGCAAGCGUUGUUCGGAAUUAUUGGGCGUAAAGGGAGUGUAGGCGGUUUGUAAAGUCUUCUGUGAAAUCUACGGGCUUAGCCUGUAACGUGCAGAGGAAACUGACAGGCUUGAGUGUCGGAGAGGAUAGGGGAAUUCCCGGUGUAGAGGUGAAAUUCGUAGAGAUCGGGAGGAACACCAGUGGCGAAGGCGCCUAUCUGGCUGACAACUGACGCUGAGACUCGAAAGCAUGGGGAGCAAACAGG